rnacentral:rRNA from 1 species
ACACAUGCAAGUCGAACGAGAGAUGAGGAGCUUGCUCUUCAGAUCGAGUGGCGAACGGGUGAGUAACGCGUGAGGAACCUGCCUCAAAGAGGGGGACAACAGUUGGAAACGACUGCUAAUACCGCAUAAGCCCACGGCUCGGCAUCGAGCAGAGGGAAAAGGAGAGAUCCGCUUUGAGAUGGCCUCGCGUCCGAUUAGCUAGUUGGUGAGGUAACGGCCCACCAAGGCGACGAUCGGUAGCCGGACUGAGAGGUUGAACGGCCACAUUGGGACUGAGACACGGCCCAGACUCCUACGGGAGGCAGCAGUGGGGAAUAUUGCACAAUGGGGGAAACCCUGAUGCAGCGACGCCGCGUGGAGGAAGAAGGUCUUCGGAUUGUAAACUCCUGUUGUUGAGGAAGAUAAUGACGGUACUCAACAAGGAAGUGACGGCUAACUACGUGCCAGCAGCCGCGGUAAAACGUAGGUCACAAGCGUUGUCCGGAAUUACUGGGUGUAAAGGGAGCGCAGGCGGGAGAACAAGUUGGAAGUGAAAUCCAUGGGCUCAACCCAUGAACUGCUUUCAAAACUGUUUUUCUUGAGUAGUGCAGAGGUAGGCGGAAUUCCCGGUGUAGCGGUGGAAUGCGUAGAUAUCGGGAGGAACACCAGUGGCGAAGGCGGCCUACUGGGCACCAACUGACGCUGAGGCUCGAAAGUGUGGGUAGCAAACAGGAUUAGAUACCCUGGUAGUCCACACCGUAAACGAUGAUUACUAGGUGUUGGAGGAUUGACCCCUUCAGUGCCGCAGUUAACACAAUAAGUAAUCCACCUGGGGAGUACGACCGCA